rnacentral:misc_RNA from 1 species
CCAAAAAAAAAAAAAAAUCUAAUACACCCAUGGCCACCCUCCUUGGUGUAACAGAUUAUAAUACCCAAUUUUUAGGAACCAAAAACCAAUGUCCUUCAAUGUAUCAACAAACAGUCAAAUAUUCUUAUGAACAAAAUCAUCAAAUUUAGCUUUUCUUUUCUUGAUAAAUCACCCUAUAUUUCACAUCUUAUCCAUACACCACCUAGUUUAGCUGAAAAACAUCACUUUAUUAGUAUAAAUUUAAUUUGAACAAGGCAAUUUCAGUCUAUUAACAUUACCCCUCUCUAUACAAAUUCAAGUAUGUUCCCAUAGCAAUCCCAGGCGCUUUAAGCAGUGUACCAUACAUAUUUUUCCGAAUUAUAAACUGGAAUUCUCAGAAACCCAUCUUUAUUGACAUAUCUUAAUCCUCAUUAAUGGCAAACUAUAAAUCCAUGCAGACAGAGUAACUACUCAAAGGCACAGUCUUGUAUCAAGCAUCACAAGUCUUUUUUCCCAGUUUAGUUUUUCCUUUGUAGUUUUUCCCCUUUCAGUCUGCAGUUCAUUAUGGCAGCCAUAGUAAAUACAAUGCCCCUGGAAAAGUCAAAUGAAAUGUUU